rnacentral:rRNA from 1 species
CUAUGCGCCUUGCCAGCCCGCUCAGGUGUGCCAGCCGCCGCGGUAACACGUAGGUGGCGAGCGUUAUCCGGAAUGAUUGGGCGUAAAGGGUGCGCAGGCGGUCCUGCAAGUCUGGAGUGAAACGCAUGAGCUCAACUCAUGCAUGGCUUUGGAAACUGGAGGACUGGAGAGCAGGAGAGGGCGGUGGAACUCCAUGUGUAGCGGUAAAAUGCGUAGAUAUUAGGAGGAACACCAGUGGCGAAGGCGGCCUGCUGGACGAUGACUGACGCUGGAGGCUCGAAAGCGUGGGGAGCAAACAGG